GAUGAACGCUAGCGGCAGGCCUAACACAUGCAAGUCGAGGGGUAUGGCAGCAAUGCCAGAGACCGGCGCACGGGUGCGUAACGCGUAUGCAAUCUACCUUUUACAGAGGGAUAGCCCAGAGAAAUUUGGAUUAAUACCUCAUAGUAUAUUUUAGUGGCAUCACUAGAUUAUUAAAGUUCCAACGGUAAAAGAUGAGCAUGCGUCCUAUUAGCUGGAUGGUAAGGUAACGGCUUACCAUGGCUACGAUAGGUAGGGGUCCUGAGAGGGAGAUCCCCCACACUGGUACUGGGACACGGACCAGACUCCUACGGGAGGCAGCAGUGAGGAAUAUUGGACAAUGGGCGCAAGCCUGAUCCAGCCAUGCCGCGUGCAGGAAGACGGUCCUAUGGAUUGUAAACUGCUUUUGUACGGGAAGAAACACUCCUACGUGUAGGAGCUUGACGGUACCGUAAGAAUAAGGAUCGGCUAACUCCGUGCCAGCCGCCGCCGUAAAAC
rnacentral:rRNA from 1 species